rnacentral:rRNA from 1 species
AUACGGAGGAUCCGAGCGUUAUCCGGAUUUAUUGGGUUUAAAGGGUGCGCAGGCGGCCAUUUAAGUCAGCGGUUAAAUCGUGGGGCUCAACCCCAUUCUGCCGUUGAUACUGGGUGGCUUGAUUGCGGUCGAGGUUGGCGGAAUUCGUUGUGUAGCGGUGAAAUGCAUAGAUAUGACGAAGGACACCGAUUGCGUAGGCAGCUGACCAGAGCGCAAAUGACGCUCAUGCACGAAAGUGCGGGGAUCGAACAGGAUUAGAUACCCUGGUAGUCCGCACAGUAAACGAUGAAUAUUUGUUUUCGGCGAUAUAAUGUCGGAGGCAAAGCGAAAGCGAUAAGUAUUCCACCUGGGGAGUACGCCGGCAACGGUGAAACUCAAAUGAAUUGACGGGG